GCUGGUUUGAUGUCCCAUAUAGAGAGGUGGCACAGCCAGGGCUGGGUAUCCCAGUCCCGUGUCGUGUCCAGCAUUUUAGUGCAGACUCACAUGCACAUCAAAUGCACAACCAUGCAAUGACAGACAAGCAGCUCCACAGGAGGAGUGCACAACCAGAGGGGAGAGGAGAGAGCCUGGACAGCCUCUGUCCUCACCUCCUCAGUGGCCAUGUGGUGACGGCUGGGUUUUUUAUUUUUUUCUCCCUAGAUGAGCUUCACAUCUCAGGUCUUCUGCUCAACUCAGGUACCAGCUGACACCCACCCAGUCCCUGGUGUUGCCUUCAGGAGCAGUGGCAAGAUGGGAGCUGGUUGGGGAAGGGGAUCCUAGCGCAGGGGGGAGGAGGAGAGAAUGGAAUGGCUGGACUUUGAGAUGAGAAGACAGUUGGAUGGGGAGGAGGCACCAUUUGCUGGAACUGAAGGGUUCUCAGUAGGGGCUCGAGGCAGGAUGUAUCUGUGAUAUCUGGACCUCUGGAGUCCCUUAAGCACAAGGAGGCAAGUGUGUGGCAGUGAAGACAUUCUGCCUUGGGCCCAAGCCCAAGACAGGUCUCCCUGAGCCCUGGGCAGACCAUCCGACCUAUGGUCAUUGGAAGGACCCACCUCCUCCCUAUCCCAGGCCUGUGUAAACGCCAGGAAGGCAGGUCCCUUUCUCCAUGCAGGCCCUGACUGGGGCAGUCAGCACCAUUAAGUUCUUCCUCUCUGAGGCUUUCCUGGGUCAACACUUCGAGGCUGUGUAGUUGGAGGGCAGGGAGCCUGAGCCAGGAGACGUCUUCCUGUUCAGGCUGAUUCCCCCCACCUGACGCUGGUGCGGGGCCCACGUUGGCAUAUACUGUGGCCAUGGAGAGAUCAUCCACUUUGAGGGUGAGUGCCUCCAGCAGAAACACAGGCCCAAGUCUGCGGAGAGGCUGCCCAGCCAAGCCACGCCCCACCAGUGAGCUGGCUACUCGGGGAUAAAGACUGAAGUCCCAGGCUGGGGGCAAGAACUCAGGAGGCUGUGGGCUCCUGGGAAGUUUCUGGGCUCCUGGAAAGGCAUCGUAUCCAAACAGGGGCAGCGCCCGCUGCUGCGCUCCUGCUGGCGCGUGCUGCGCAGAGUGAGCGAAGCGACGGACGCGGACCCACCAUCCUAUCACUCCAUGCGCAGCAACUGUGUGCACUUUGCACUGUGUCUGCUCGUCCCAGGUCCCAGCCUGGACCCCCGGCAAAUAGACGGGAGCUCCAGCAGGUGUCAAUGGACGUGGACGUGUCCCCGGAUUAAGCAUGACCUUGGCCCUCCUGGGUGGACGUGGAGGCUUCAGAAAGAUUCAUUAAACUACUUUCCAAAGCUUAA
ensembl:lncRNA novel transcript